AAGCUCAAGCAGCUGCUCUUGAUGUCGUAGCUAAGUUUGGCACAAAGGCUGACUUGAAUACAUAUUUGAGUAAGCCAUUGUUGGAUGCUUGGAAAGAAGCUUGUGGUUCGACAACUCCAUCAACAAUUGUGAUUCCUGAAGGGACAUAUUUGUUAAGUCAAGCAACGCUAGAAGGUCCUUACAAGGCUCCUAUUGAGCUUCAACUUGAGGGCAAUGUAAAAGCACCAGCUGAUCCUAAAGCUUUCAAGGAGCAUAAAUGGGUUA